rnacentral:rRNA from 1 species
UAGGGAAUCUUCCGCAAUGGGCGAAAGCCUGACGGAGCAACGCCGCGUGAGUGAUGAAGGUCUUCGGAUCGUAAAACUCUGUUAUUAGGGAAGAACAAAUGUGUAAGUAACUAUGCACAUCUUGACGGUACCUAAUCAGAAAGCCACGGCUAACUACGUGCCAGCAGCCGCGGUAAUACGUAGGUGGCAAGCGUUAUCCGGAAUUAUUGGGCGUAAAGCGCGCGUAGGCGGUCAAUUAAGUCUGAUGUGAAAGCCCCCGGCUCAACCGGGGAGGGUCAUUGGAAACUGGUUGACUUGAGUGCAGAAGGGGAGAGUGGAAUUCCAUGUGUAGCGGUGAAAUGCGUAGAUAUAUGGAGGAACACCGGUGGCGAAAGCGGCUCUCUGGUCUGUAACUGACGCUGAGGCUCGAAAGCGUGGGGAGCGAACAGG